AACGAAGUCUGGGCUACCGGCGCCGCGUAGUGGAUGCAGCAUCCUAGUUGAGGACGCCCCUCUGUUGCUGAACCUGUUUGCAUGAGUUGCUCCUGACGGCUCUUUAGGAUACUUCCGUGUCUGUAGGGUCUGGAGUGACAUCUCCUCCCCUCCCCUGACGAGAUCUGCCCUCCUUGGCACUGUGCUUCCCCAGAGGGGUGGCCUCGCUGUUCCCAUGGACGUGGCCCAGGAGCCGGUGACCUUCAGGGACGUGGCCAUCUACUUCUCAAGGGAGGAGUGGGCGUGUCUGGAACCCAGCCAGAGGGCCCUCUACCGGGACGUGAUGCUGGACAACUUCAGCAGUGUGGCUGCUCUGGGUGAGGACGGGCUGAGCGCUGUGUGAGCACGGGGUGAGCGCUGGGAGAGCUCUGCUGCUGCCUCUGGGUCUGGCUGGUCCAGGACAGUAGUGGGGCCUCCCAGCCGAGGGGGCUCAGGAGCUAGAAGUUAUUGGCCUCUGUAGACAGACGGGCCCACUCAGCGUUUCUCUCGGGCUCCCUGGAGGCAGCCUCAU
rnacentral:sRNA from 1 species